GAUGAACGCUGGCGGCGUGCCUAAUACAUGCAAGUCGAGCGAACAGACGAGGAGCUUGCUCCUCUGACGUUAGCGGCGGUCGGGUGAGUAACACGUGGAUAACCUACCUAUAAGACUGGGAUAACUUGGGAAAACGGGACCAAAACCGGAUAAUUUAUUGAAACCGCAGGUUUAAUUGGGAAAGACGGUUUUUCCUGUCAUUUAUGGAUGAUACCGCGCCGCAUUGGUUAGUUGGAAAGUAAACGGCUUACCAAGGCAAGGAGGCGUAGCCGACCUGAGAGGGUGAUCGGCAACACUGGAACUGAGACACGGUCCAGAAUCCUAAGGGAGGCAGCAGUAGGGAAUCUGCGGCAAGGGGCGAAAGCCUGACGGAGCAACGCGGCGGGAGUGAGGAAGGGCUUCGGAUCGUAAAACGCUGUUAUUAGGGAAGAACAAAUGUGUAAGUAACGAUGCACGUAUGGAAGGUACCUAAUCAGAGAGCCACGGCUAACUAGGU
rnacentral:rRNA from 1 species